CAGAAUUUAUCGAGUAUUUAACCAAAAUUAGUCCAAACAAAUUAGCGGCCGACAACAUUAGAGCAGAGCUGUGAGCUAAGAAACUAUAAAUCACCAUAGCUAACGCCAAGAAAUUUAAAGAAAACAAAAGUUUUUCUUUUUUCUAUUUAAUUCUCCUUCUGAUAAAGCCACAAAUUGGGGGGAAAAAAAAAACUAUUUGGCUUUCUGCUAUUGCUGGGCCGAAAACACCGUAAUUAAUGAGAAAUCAAUUAAUCUGGAAAUUCUUGAAAACAAAUAUAUGAAACAGAAGGAAAA